rnacentral:rRNA from 1 species
UACGUAGGGUGCAAGCGUUAUCCGGAAUUAUUGGGCGUAAAGAGCUCGUAGGCGGUUUGUCGCGUCUGCUGUGAAAACUGGAGGCUCAACCUCCAGCCUGCAGUGGGUACGGGCAGACUAGAGUGUGGUAGGGGAGACUGGAAUUCCUGGUGUAGCGGUGAAAUGCGCAGAUAUCAGGAGGAACACCGAUGGCGAAGGCAGGUCUCUGGGCCACUACUGACGCUGAGAAGCGAAAGCAUGGGGAGCAAACAGG